UACGGAGGUUGCGAGCGUUGUUCGGAAUAACUGGGCGUAAAGGGAGCGCAGGCGGUUCGGUAAGUCUAAAGUGGAAGCCCGGGGCUUAACCCCGGAAGUGCUUUGGAUACUGUCGAACUCGAGUUCGUGAGAGGAAAGCGGAAUUCCAGGUGUAGCGGUGAAAUGCGUAGAUAUCUGGAGGAACACCGGUGGCGAAAGCGGCUUUCUGGCGCGAUACUGACGCUGAGGCUCGAAAGCAUCCGGAGCAAACAGG
rnacentral:rRNA from 1 species